UUAGUUGACAGCACGUUAUGGUGGGAACUCUAAGAAGACCGCCGGUGACAAACCGGAGGAAGGUGGGGACGACGUCAAGUCAUCAUGGCCCUUAUGACCAGGGCUACACACGUGCUACAAUGGUCGGUACAAAGGGUUGCCAAGCCGCGAGGUGGAGCCAAUCCCAUAAAACCGAUCGUAGUCCGGAUUGGAGUCUGCAACUCGACUCCAUGAAGUCGGAAUCGCUAGUAAUCGUAGAUCAGCAUUGCUACGGUGAAUACGUUCCCGGGCCUUGUACACACCGCCCGUCACACCAUGGGAGUUUGUUGCACCAGAAGCAGGUAGCUUAACCGUAAGGAGGGCGCUUGCCACGGUGUGGCCGAUGANUGGGGUGAAGUCGUAACAAGGUAGCCGUAGGGGAACCUGC
rnacentral:rRNA from 1 species